rnacentral:rRNA from 1 species
GGGAUCCUACGGGACGCAGCAGUGGGGGAUAUUGCACAAUGGGGGAAACCCUGAUGCAGCGACGCCGCGUGAGUGAAGAAGUAUUUCGGUAUGUAAAGCUCUAUAGGCAGGGAAGAAAAAAAUGACAGUACCUGACUGAGAAGCCCCGGCUAACUACGUGCCAGCAGCCGCGGUAAUACGUAGGGGGCAAGCGUUAUCCGGAUUUACUGGGUGUAAAGGGAGCGUAGACGGCUGUGCAAGUCUGAAGUGAAAUGCCGGGGCUCAACCCCGGAACUGCUUUGGAAACUGUACAGCUAGAGUGCAGG